rnacentral:rRNA from 1 species
GAUCUGCUCUGGGUAAGUCGGGGCCUAAGGCCAGGUCGAAAGGCGUAACCGAUGGACAACAGGUUGAAAUUCCUGUACCUUAAGUAAACAGAACUGUGGGGACACGUGUGGAGAGCACAAGCCGGAAAUGGAAAAGCCGGUGCAAGCGAGGUAGGAGAUGAACAGGCAAAUCCGUUCAUCAAUCCGAAGACGUGAUGCGGACCGAAUUAAGAGUAGGGAAGUGUGUGAGCCAUGCGUCAAGAAAAGCCGCUAUUGUUUUACUUAAGCCCGUACCGUAAACCGACACAGGUGGAUGAGGAGAGAAUCCUAAGGCCGACGGGAGAAGCAUUGUUAAGGAACUCGGCAAAAUGACUCCGUAACUUCGGGAGAAGGAGUGCCAGCGAGAGCUGGCCGCAGAGAAUUGGCCCAAGCAACUGUUUAGCAAAAACACAGGUCUAUGCAAAACCGUAAGGUGAAGUAUAUGGGCUGACGCCUGCCCGGUGCUGGAAGGUUAAGAGGAGAGGUUAGCGGUAACGCGAAGCUUUGAAUUUAAGCCCCAGUAAACGGCGGCCGUAACAAUAACGGUCCUAAGGUAGCGAAAUUCCUUGUCGGGUAAGUUCCGACCCGCACGAAAGGCGUAAUGAUUUGGGCACUGUCUCAACAAUGCACCCGGUGAAAUUGAAAUACCAGUGAAGAUGCUGGUUACCUGCGCCAGGACGGAAAGACCCCAUGGAGCUUUACUCCAGCUUGUACUGGGAUUCGGUAUUGCAUGUACAGGAUAGGUGGGAGGCUAGGAAGUGAUAACGCCAGUUGUCACGGAGCCGCUGUUGGGAUACCACCCUUGCAGUAUUGGAUUUCUAACCAGCGACCAUGAACUGGUCGGGGGACAAUGUCAGGUGGGGAGUUUGACUGGGGCGGUCGCCUCCGAAGGGUAUCGGAGGCGCUCAAAGGUUCCCUCAGAAUGGACGGAAACCAUUCGAAGAGUGCAAAGGCAGAAGGGAGCUUGACUGCGACACCGACGGGUGGAGCAGGUACGAAAGUAGGACUUAGUGAUCCGGUGGUAUAAAGUGGGAUUGCCAUCGCUCAACGGAUAAAAGCUACCCUGGGAUAACAGGCUUAUCACUCCCAAGAGUUCACAUCGACGGAGUGGUUUGGCACCUCGGUGUCGGCUCAUCGCAUCCUGGGGCUGAAGUAGGUCCCAAGGGUUGGGCUGUUCGCCCAUUAAAGCGGUACGCGAGCUGGGUUCAGAACGUCGUGAGACAGUUCGGUCCCUAUCCGGCGUGGGCGUAGGAUAUUUGAGAGGAGCUGUCCUUAGUACGAGAGGACCGGGAUGGACUGGCCGCUGGUGUAUCUGUUGCAUACCAAAUGCAUGGCAGAGUAGCCAAGCCGGGACGGGAUAAACGCUGAAGGCAUCUAAGCGUGAAGCCCCCCUCAAGAUGAGAUAUCCCUACGUAAGUAGUAAGACCCCUUGAAGACGACAAGGUAGAUAGGUCAGAGGUGGAAGUACAGUAAUGUAUGGAGCUGACUGAUACUAAUCGGUCGAGGGCAUGACCG